UGCAUUUCAGCAUUCCUGAGCAGGACGUGCGCUGAUAACUAGACUUUGUGUUUAUCCAGACAUAUGUUUAUAGAGUAUGUGAAAGUUUGCAGUAAAUUACUGUGUAGGCUAGUCAACACCAUCCCAUUAUUGAUGAGGUGCCUAGAGUCUGGCAUUUAAUAGAUAAUGUUUGUUUAAUAGAUAGGAACCAUGUACAUAUACAUGUCUUCCAUGACACAAAUUUUUAAGUACUAAUGGACCUUUUUCUUUUUUCCAUGACAUCCUUAAAUCAUGAAUUUGCCAAUUUUUUUCUUAAACUGUGAAAUAGAAUGAAAGAAGUUUUCUUAUUUUUUCUUAGAGGAGCAAACUUACCUCCUUACUUUUGAAAUAUCAGCGAAAGGAAACAUGUAAUUUUGCUACACAAUAAAAUGAUCCUUUCUAACCUCUGGGAUAUCUUGUUUCAAACUACUUGAUAUGUGGCAUUACAUCUGGAUCUCAAGUUGAGAACGCCUAAUUGUAGUGAUGUUGAGUGUAUGAAGUGAUUUUAGUUUAUCCACUCAGUUAAAGGUUGCUAAUCCUUGAGUCUUGUGGCAGAAGACUUGAACAGGGGCAGAAGGAUUGGCAUAAAUUCUUGCAGAAGCUUAGAAUGCCCUUUCUAAGAAGGGGAUUCCACUGAAACAAUAGGUAGGUGUAAGUGUUAUCACCACAUGGUUAGAUAGAAGGGGGUUCCACUGAAACAAUAGGUAGGUGUAAGUGUUAUCACCACAUGGUUAGAUAGAAGGGGGUUCCACUGAAACAAUAGGUAGAUGUAAGUGUUAUCACCACAUGGUUAGAUGGCACUUUUCUUUGAGACUUUAACUUGUUGUAUUGAUGCUUCCAAAUUAGGGAAAUAUAUACGUAAUUUGUUAUGGUUAGAGAGAAAUUCAUAAUAGAAUGGGUUGCUAAAAUCAUGUGGUAAGUUAGUAACAGAACCAUGAACAGGUAGAGUCCCUUGGGGUCAAGAUUGCCAGGCUAUCCCUGUUCUUUUUGUUUUAGGUGUUAGGUGAAGCCCAUUUAGCUAAUAAACUGUGGGAAUUAGCUACCAAGGUUCUGUGGCAGAGAAAUAACAAAUACACAGUAAUUUUGUUAAUACUGAGGGUUUUGUUUCUUUUUAACCUAAGUUUACCAGAUUUCUCCUUACAUUAUGAGUACGGAGACUUUUGUUUUCUUAUGAAACAGGAAUUGUAAUAAACAGUUAUCACCGCAUUGUCUCAAUUUGCAGCUGUAAUAACACGACGAUACAGAUUAAGACACCCCUCAGUGCAGAAUGCAGAACAGUUCUCAUGAUCUCCACCUUCCUUUCGUUUGAGCUGGCUGCCUUAAAGACAGAGGCUUCCAGACUCUUGGGAAGAUUCAGGGUUUUGGUUUAUUUUGCCAUGUUUGGGUCCCUUUUUCUGAUAUAUAUUAGCCUAUUAUUUUCACCUCCAUACAAAUUUGCCUUUAUAAUUAAUUACUGAAAACAUAAAAAUAGACUUUAAGUGAAUCGAAUUCAGAAUAUCCCACAGAUGAUUGAGGUAUAUAUGCAAUAUACACAGAAGCCUUAAAGUACAUGCUCACCUCCCUCAGCCUAGUCAUUGGGUUUUAUCCUGAGAAUGGGGUUGACCUAACCAUAAGUGACUUCAAGGAAUCUGUUACUUUUAAAUUAAGACCCCUGAAGGAAUUCAACAGAAGACAAAAAGCUAAGUACAUCAUCUACAGUGUAACAAAAAUUGGCAUAACCUAAAUGUAAAUUAAGUAAAUUGCUAAGUACUAUAGGAUUAAUCCUAUAGGAUUAAGUAAAUUACAGUUCAUCACUUAAUAGUAUAUUACACACACAGGCACACCUUGGAGAUGUUGUGGGUUUGGUUCCAGAAAACCACAGUAAAGCAAAUCACGCAAUAAAGUGAGUCACAUUCAUUAUUAAUAUUUGGUUUUCUAGUGCAUAUAAAGUUAUGUUUACACUAUAAUGCAGUCUGUUAAUUGUGCAGUAGUAUUACAUCUAAAAAGAAAAAACAAUUUACGUACCUUAAUUUAAAAAUACUUUAUUGAUAUUUGAGGUUAUUGGCCCUGGGAGAGGGCCUUGCCUCCCCAUUGAUGGCUGCUGACUGAUCAGGGUGGUGGUUACUGAAGCUUUGGAUGGCUGUGGCACUUUCUUAGACAAGACAGCAAUGGAGAUUGCCACAUUAAUUGACUCUUGCUUUCAUGAAAGAUUUCUCUGUAGCAUGUGAUACUAUUUGAUAGCAUUUUACCCACAGUAGAACUUGCAAAAUUAGAGUCAGUUUUCUCAAACGCUGCCACUGCUUUGUCACCUAAGUUGAUGUGGUUCUCCAAAUCUUUUUUUUUUUUUUUUUGUCAUUU